UGAUCCGGUGGUUCUGAAUGGAAGGGCCAUCGCUCAACGGAUAAAAGGUACUCCGGGGAUAACAGGCUGAUACCGCCCAAGAGUUCAUAUCGACGGCGGUGUUUGGCACCUCGAUGUCGGCUCAUCACAUCCUGGGGCUGAAGUAGGUCCCAAGGGUAUGGCUGUUCGCCAUUUAAAGUGGUACGCGAGCUGGGUUUAGAACGUCGUGAGACAGUUCGGUCCCUAUCUGCCGUGGGCGCUGGAGAACUGAGGGGGGCUGCUCCUAGUACGAGAGGACCGGAGUGGACGCAUCACUGGUGUUCGGGUUGUCAUGCCAAUGGCACUGCCCGGUAGCUAAAUGCGGAAGAGAUAAGUGCUGAAAGCAUCUAAGCACGAAACUUGCCCCGAGAUGAGUUCUCCCUGACUCCUUGAGAGUCCUGAAGGAACGUUGAAGACGACGACGUUGAUAGGCCGGGUGUGUAAGCGCAGCGAUGCGUUGAGCUAACCGGUACUAAUGAACCGUGAGG
rnacentral:rRNA from 1 species